GAACCCCCCCUCUCAAACCCCCUCCCCCCCCCAUCCAACAGACGGCGCUGACAGCGGGAUGGGAGCGGAGGGCUUUAAAAACACGGAACGGCCGCAACGUCCAUAGGCCCGGGGGGGGCACACGGCCUCCGCCCCCCCCACGCAGUGUCCCCACGGUCCGUCCAUAGAGGGUAAAGGGGAGAAGGGGGAGGGGGGUCGGUUCCAUCCCCCUUCCCUCCCCCCCCCCCCCCCAAUUCGUCGUCGCUGUGGGAGUGGAGGGGGCGUGGCCUCGUUGGAGGGGGCGUGGCCUCGCGGCGGAGGGGGCGUGGCCUCGCGGGGGCCGCUGUCACCACAGGCGGUGCUGGUGGAGAUUCCGGCUCAGCACCGAGCGGACGUCGGCUGUGAACCUGAGUGCAUCCAGCAUGGGCAGCAGGUUGAGUAGCGCCGUGUCGCUGGGGUCGCUGAACCACGAUUUGAUGGGGAUGGCGUUAUCUGGAUGGCUGCGAUAAGCACCGGGUGAGUUGUCCAGGAUGACGAUACUGGAAAGGUCCCCAUGGACCACCGAGAGGUCCUUAAUGUAACUGCCCAACUCCAGCGUGCAGUGCUGGCGGUAGUAGCGCCGAUUGAGGAUGCUGCGGUUGUUGUCCAGUUUGUCGGCCACGGCGCAGCCGUAGAUCUCCAUGCUGGCCGUGAACACCACCAGCUCGUACCAUUGGC
rnacentral:lncRNA from 1 species